rnacentral:tRNA from 1 species
GGGUAAUAGCUCAGUGGUAGAGUAUGUGCCUGGCAUGCACGAGAUCCUGGGUUCAAUCCCUAGUACGUCCA